rnacentral:tRNA from 1 species
UGCGGAGUAGCUCAAUUCGGCAGAGCGGCGCCCUGUUAAGGCGACGGUUGUGGGUUCGAGUCCCACCUCCGCAG